AGUCGAGGGGUAUUGGUUUUCGGACCAGAGACCGGCGCACGGGUGCGUAACGCGUAUGCAAUCUACCUUUUACAGAGGGAUAGCCCAGAGAAAUUUGGAUUAAUACCUCAUAGUAUUAUUGAAUGGCAUCAUUUAAUAAUUAAAGUCACAACGGUAAAAGAUGAGCAUGCGUCCCAUUAGCUUGUUGGUAAGGUAACGGCUUACCAAGGCAACGAUGGGUAGGGGUCCUGAGAGGGAGAUCCCCCACACUGGUACUGAGACACGGACCAGACUCCUACGGGAGGCAGCAGUGAGGAAUAUUGGUCAAUGGGCGCAAGCCUGAACCAGCCAUGCCGCGUGCAGGAUGACGGUCCUAUGGAUUGUAAACUGCUUUUGUACAGGAAGAAACAUCUCUACGUGUAGAGACUUGACGGUACUGUAAGAAUAAGGAUCGGCUAACUCCGUGCCAGCAGCCGCGGUAAUACGGAGGAUCCAAGCGUUAUCCGGAAUCAUUGGGUUUAAAGGGUCUGUAGGCGGUUUUGUAAGUCAGUGGUGAAAGCCCAUCGCUCAACGGUGGAACGGCCAUUGAUACUGCAAGACUUGAAUUAUUAGGAAGUAACUAGAAUAUGUAGUGUAGCGGUGAAAUGCUUAGAUAUUACAUGGAAUACCAAUUGCGAAGGCAGGUUACUACUAAUUGAUUGACGCUGAUGGACGAAAGCGUGGGGAGCGAACAGGAUUAGAUACCCUGGUAGUCCACGCCGUANACGAUGGAUACUAGCUGUUCGGAGCAAUCUGAGUGGCUAAGCGAAAGUGAUAAGUAUCCCACCUGGGGAGUACGUUCGCAAGAAUGAAACUCAAAGGAAUUGACGGGGGCCCGCACAAGCGGUGGAGCAUGUGGUUUAAUUCGAUG
rnacentral:rRNA from 1 species